rnacentral:sRNA from 1 species
GGAUGUGAGGGCGAUCUGGCUGCGACACCUGGCACUGAUCACUGAGGUUGAUGUGGCUGAUCUGGCUGGCUAGGCAGGUGUCCCCUUCCUCCCUCACGGCUCCACGUGCAUCCCUCUGAAAGCUGUGCCCCCGGUCAAAGACGACGACCAAUCCCCAGUAGAGGAGGACCCGUCUUCGGUCAAGGGUCUAUGAGUAGCUGUGUUCCCCUGCUAGAGCCUCCAAGCAAGCUCUCAAGANNNNNNNNN